rnacentral:rRNA from 1 species
GGCAGUAAAUGCCUUGUCAAUUGGACAAAAGUAUGUUCCCCGAAGGAUUAUGGUGGUCUUGGCAUCAAGGAUCUUGAUCUGCACAGCCACGCCUUGUGACUGAGGUGGCUAUGGUAGAGCUGGGACAACUCUGAUCGACCAUGGAAAGGUUUCCCAGUUCCUUGCAAUGAGACUGACAGGCGCCUUUUUGCUGCUUGCACCGCUAUCAACAUCAAAACUGGCACACUAAAAGACCUUAAAAACCUCUCGGUCCGAGAUGGAAUUACGAAUGCCAGAUGGAUGAGAGGCCUUCAGAAAAUAAAUUCUGAGCGCAAUUUAACUCUUCCAUCAGGAUAG